rnacentral:rRNA from 1 species
UACGUAGGGGGCAAGCGUUGUCCGGAUUUAUUGGGCGUAAAGAGCGUGUAGGCGGCUAUACAGGUCCGUUGUGAAAACUCGAGGCUCAACCUCGAGACGCCGAUGGAAACCGUAUGGCUAGAGUCCGGAAGAGGAGAGCGGAAUUCCUGGUGUAGCGGUGAAAUGCGCAGAUAUCAGGAAGAACACCCGUGGCGAAGGCGGCUCUCUGGGACGGUACUGACGCUGAGGAGCGAAAGCGUGGGGAGCAAACAGG